rnacentral:rRNA from 1 species
AUACGUAGGGGGCAAGCGUUAUCCGGAUUUACUGGGUGUAAAGGGGGCGCAGACGGGUAUGCAAGUCUGAAGUGAAAACCCACGGCUCAACUGUGGGCUUGCUUUGGAAACUGUAAACCUUGAGUGUCGGAGGGGUAAGCGGAAUUCCUGGUGUAGCGGUGAAAUGCGUAGAUAUCAGGAAGAACACCGGUGGCGAAGGCGGCUUACUGGACGACAACUGACGUUGAGGCCCGAAGGCGUGGGGAGCAAACAGGAUUAGAUACCCUGGUAGUCCACGCGGUAAACGAUGAAUACUAGGUGUUGGGGAACAAAGUUCUUCAGUGCCGGAGCUAACGUGAUAAGUAUUCCACCUGGGGAGUACGUCCGCAAGGAUGAAACUCAAAGGAAUUGACGGGG